UACGUAGGGGGCAAGCGUUGUCCGGAAUUAUUGGGCGUAAAGCGCACGUAGGUGGCGACGUAAGUCGGGUGUGAAAGCCCCGGGCUCAACCUGGGAAUUGCAUUCGAGACUGCAUUGCUGGAGUACGGAAGAGGAAGGCGGAAUUCCCGGUGUAGCGGUGAAAUGCGUAGAUAUCGGGAGGAACAUCAGUGGCGAAGGCGGCCUUCUGGGUCAACACUGACGCUCAUGCACGAAAGCGUGGGGAGCAAACAGG
rnacentral:rRNA from 1 species